GAUGAACGCUGGCGGCGUGCCUAAUACAUGCAAGUCGAGCGAACGGACGAGAAUCUUGCUCCUCUGAUGUUAGCGGCGGACGGGUGAGUAACACGUGGAUAACCUACCUAUAAGACUGGGAUAACUUCGGGAAACCGUAGCUAAUACCGGAUAAUAUUUUGAACCGCAUGGUUCAAAAGUGAAAGACGGUCUUGCUGUCACUUAUAGAUGGAUCCGCGCUUCAUUAGCUAGUUGGUAAGGUAACGGCUUACCAAGGCAACGAUGCGUAGCCGACCUGAGAGGGUGAUCGGCCACACUGGAACUGAGACACGGUCCAGACUCCUACGGGAGGCAGCAGUAGGGAAUCUUCCGCAAUGGGCGAAAGCCUGACGGAGCAACGCCGCGUGAGUGAUGAAGGUCUUCGGAUCGUAAAACUCUGUUAUUAGGGAAGAACAAAUGUGUAAGUAACUAUGCACGUCUUGACGGUACCUAAUCAGAAAGCCACGGCUAACUACGUG
rnacentral:rRNA from 1 species